rnacentral:lncRNA from 1 species
CCCAAGCUCCCCAGGUCCCAUGGAUCCUUCUCUACCCUCCAGCUCCCGCCUGUCCCUACCGACUAAUAUCAGAAUUAGCCUAAUUCAAGUCAACUAUUGGAGAAGGUUCAAAGUGAGAUGCAAAAAUCCUUAAUAAGAUACUGGCAAAUAGAAUGCAGAAGAUCAUCAAGAAGAUCAUACACCCUGACCAAGUGGGAUUCAUCCCAGGG